UGAUACGGAGGAUCCGAGCGUUAUCCGGAAUUAUUGGGUUUAAAGGGUUUGUAGGCGGCUUUGUAAGUCAGUGGUGAAAUUUCCUAGCUUAACUAGGACACUGCCAUUGAUACUGCAGAGCUUGAAUAAUAUGGAAGUAACUAGAAUAUGUAGUGUAGCGGUGAAAUGCUUAGAUAUUACAUGGAAUACCAAUUGCGAAGGCAGGUUACUACGUAUUUAUUGACGCUGAUGAACGAAAGCGUGGGGAGCGAACAGGAUUAGAUACCCUGGUAGUCCACGCCGUAAACGAUGGAUACUAGCUGUUCGGUUUUCGGACUGAGUGGCUAAGCGAAAGUGAUAAGUAUCCCACCUGGGGAGUACGUUCGCAAGAAUGAAACUCAAAGGAAUUGACGGGGGCCCGCACAAGCGGUGGAGCAUGUGGUUUAAUUCGAUGAUACGCGAGGAACCUUACCAGGGCUUAAAUGUAGAUUGACAGAUUUGGAAACAGAUUUUUCUUCGGACAAUUUACAAGGUGCUGCAUGGUUGUCGUCAGCUCGUGCCGUGAGGUGUCAGGUUAAGUCCUAUAACGAGCGCAACCCCUAUUGUUAGUUACCAGCGCGUUAAGGCGGGGACUCUAGCAAGACUGCCGGUGCAAACCGUGAGGAAGGUGGGGAUGACGUCAAAUCAUCACGGCCCUUACGUCCUGGGCUACACACGUGCUACAAUGGCAAGUACAGAAAGCAGCUACCUGGCAACAGGAUGCGAAUCUCCAAAGCUUGUCUCAGUUCGGAUUGGAGUCUGCAACUCGACUCUAUGAAGCUGGAAUCGCUAGUAAUCGGAUAUCAGCCAUGAUCCGGUGAAUACGUUCCCGGGCCUUGUACACACCGCCCGUCAAGCCAUGGAAGCUGGGGGUACCUGAAGUCGGUGACCGCA
rnacentral:rRNA from 1 species